UACGGAGGGUGCGAGCGUUAAUCGGAAUCACUGGGCGUAAAGCGCACGUAGGCGGACCAUUAAGUCAGGGGUGAAAGCCUGGAGCUCAACUCCAGAACUGCCUUUGAUACUGAUGGUCUCGAGUAUGGAAGAGGUUGGUGGAACUGCGAGUGUAGAGGUGAAAUUCGUAGAUAUUCGCAAGAACACCAGUGGCGAAGGCGGCCAACUGGUCCAUUACUGACGCUGAGGUG
rnacentral:rRNA from 1 species